UUUCAAGAGGAUCUUGUCCAUUCCAUUAAAGAAAGUUUUGAUUGAUUUUUUUUUCCUUCAAUCUUCUCAUUCCAUUUUGACAUUCAUACAAUUAGUCUUAUGUUAGCAAAAUCAAUGUAUAUAAAAAAGCAUGACAAAGUUUCUUCAUUCCAUAUAAGACCCAAUGCAUGUAUAAAUAUUUUUGAUUUCUAUGUGUAUAGCUUGGUUGAAAGUAAAUUGGGGGGAAAAAAUUAAUUUCUUUUGCAUAAUAAUUCAAGUUUUGCAAUUUUGGAUGUACCGAUACAUCAUAAAGUGUAAUGGGCAUUUUUAGUUUCAUAUUAAUCCGGCAUUAUUGUUGCUUAUUUUCAUAUCUUUGUAAAUUAGGCUUUUAUGUUACAUAUUGCUUGUAACUUUUGAAAUUUUGGGAUUUUUUUUAAACAUCACAUUUUGUAAUUGGCUGUUUGAACAAUUUUGAAUCAGAAUUGACACAAAGUUAAGUUAUGUACACAGUGAAAACAUUUGUUACUUUGGCGAUACGGUGAAAAAGGCAUGUAGUGUGUAUCAUUUUUAUAAAUAAAAACAGGCU
rnacentral:sRNA from 1 species